rnacentral:rRNA from 1 species
GACGGGGGGGGCAAGUGUUCUUCGGAAUGACUGGGCGUAAAGGGCACGUGGGCGGUGAAUCGGGUUGAAAGUGAAAGUCGCCAAAAAGUGGCGGAAUGCUCUCGAAACCAAUUCACUUGAGUGAGACAGAGGAGAGUGGAAUUUCGUGUGUAGGGGUGAAAUCCGUAAAUAUACGAAGGAACGCCAAAAGCGAAGGCAGCUCUCUGGGUCCCUACCGACGCUGGGGUGCGAAAGCAUGGGGAGCGAACAGG